ACAGAAUUUUAUUUUAUGAGGGAAGAAGAAAACUUAGGGGUUUAACUGUGUUUUACAGUUUAGUGUAUCGUCUUCUUAAGACCUCCCUUUUGCUGUUGGCAAAAUAAAGUAAGUUUCGGUUAAAUAUUGACUUUUAUUUUCAAGGCCCAGCAACAGAUGCUGACCAAAUAUAUACCAACAGCACCACUGAGGGUGCUUUUAAUAUUGAGGUCCCAGUGAAAAUGUGUUUAAAUGUCGAACAUCCAUUAUAUCACUUUCUCUGCAGUCUAGAUAAAUAUUACUAACUUGCUACCUAAAAACUGAGCAGCUCGGCGAACUAACCAAUUUGUGCUGGGUCCAGUUAGAAAAACUGAAGUAUCAGGCAUUCGAUUUUCCUGUUAUGCUGUGUUCUCAGUGUAAAUUCA
rnacentral:lncRNA from 1 species